UAGCCAUAUCAUGUUGAAACACCAGUUCUCGUAUGAUUACUGAAGUUCAGCAAUGUUGAGCCUGGUCAGUACCUAGAUGGGUGACCACUUGUGGAUACCAGUGCUGUAAG